rnacentral:ncRNA from 4 species
UACGUAGGGUGCGAGCGUUGUCCGGAAUUAUUGGGCGUAAAGAGCUCGUAGGCGGUUUGUCGCGUCGGCCGUGAAAACUUGGGGCUUAACCCCGAGCCUGCGGUCGAUACGGGCAGACUUGAGUUCGGCAGGGGAGACUGGAAUUCCUGGUGUAGCGGUGAAAUGCGCAGAUAUCAGGAGGAACACCGGUGGCGAAGGCGGGUCUCUGGGCCGAUACUGACGCUGAGGAGCGAAAGCGUGGGGAGCGAACAGG